rnacentral:rRNA from 1 species
AGAGUUUGAUCCUGGCUCAGAUUGAACGCUGGCGGCGUGCUUUACACAUGCAAGUCGAGCGGCAGCAUGACCUGGUUGAUGCGAGCGGCGAACGGGUGAGUAAUACAUCGGAACGUACCUUUUAGUUGGGGGAGUAACGCAUCGAAAGAUGUGCUAAUACCGCAUAAUCUCUGAGGAGGAAAGGCGGGGAGUCACGUAAGUGACCUGUCGCUGAAAGAGCGGCCGAUGGUCGAUUAGCUAGUUGGCGGGGUAAAAGCCCACCAAGGCGAUGAUCGAUAGCGGGUCUGAGAGGACGAUCCGUCACACUGGGACUGAGACACGGCCCAGACUCCUACGGGAGGCGAC